ACCACUGAGCCACCAGGGAAGCCGUAUCCAUCUUGAUACGUUGGUAUUUUAUGUAAUUUUUGCUGGUAUUGCUAAUUUCUCAAAAGACUGUAAAAAUUCACAUUUCGCCUGUUCUUUUUGAGAGACUGAUGAUGCAUUGAAAGGGAAGAUGCACAGUCCUUGAAUAGGGAAGAGGAGGUGGGGCCUAAAAUACACAUAAAAGGACUGGGCUUUGAUAAGGAAAGGAAUACUUUCUCCACUGUAACGGGAAAAAAGGAAACGAUUACUUAGUUGUCCAUAAUUCUGUAGUUUUGGUGGUAAUUGAGACAUUCUGUAGUCUCAGUGAAAUAGGAUAUAAAAUCAUCAGUUGAAAGGAGGAACUUGGAAAAUUCAAAGUGUGAAAUCAAUCCUAGAAAGUCAAAAAGGGUGUAGGAUUGCUAGGCCAUGUUGAAUUUAAAAUACAGUCACAAUGUGUGAUUUUCUCUAGCUGUAUCUGUGAUGUGGGUUUGUACUCAGAUAAAGUGGAUACUUAGCGUCACUAGGGCUAGAGUUUGCUAAUAAGUACGUGUGACUGGGCAGGGGGCAAAGGAAAUAAGAGCAGUCUGCAAGGGAAUGGUUGUAUUGUACAUAGACCGCAAAUCUAAGCUCAAAGGACAGAAAGAGGCUGUAGGAUUGCAACAGAAUCAGUAGAUUAGAAGGUUCAAUGAGGGGGAAGAAUUUUUAACGACAGAGACACCAAAACUAAUGAACAGGAAGGAUGGGGUGGGGUGUUGGAAUGUGGAAUGUAUGAAUUUAGAAUUUUGGCAUGGGUAAGGGUUUCUAUUGACCGAUUCAAGGAGUUGCCCAUGGAUUUGGAUCACUGAGAUACAGUGAAAGAAGGAUUCAUGAGAGAAGUUGUGAAGGAUCUGGGAGGCCACGUUAUGUUUGCAAGGCAGCAAGAACAGCUGCUGAGCAGAUGUAAGAGGAAUGGAGAAGAUUUCAAACAACAGCUGUGGAGAGAAGUGUCACAGAGAAGGGUCGUCAAGAGAUGUUUGAGGGCUCAACUGGAGAUGGAGAUCGUUAGGCAUAAACUUCUCCCUUCCUGCCUCUCCCAUUGCAUAUGCAAUAUCUAUUUUCUCUUAUUCCCACCGGCCUGAAUUCAUUACUUUCUCAUCUGUGUUUCAAUAGUAUUAAACACCUACUUUGAUAUCUCUUA